GUGAGCGGCGGCUGGUCGGGCCACGACCACGUGGACUGGAGCGCGCACCGGGCCAGUCCGGGCCGCGCGGGGCAGGAGACUGACGUGGCGGGGACCGCCUCCGCGCCCUGGGCGAGCCGUGACGCCCCGGCGUCGGCCGCAUCUCCCCGAGACUGUGCCCGGCUGUGGGACGGGCGCCGCCGGCUCUGCCCCUUCCCUGAGGUCCCCUCGCUCCGUCGCCCGGGCCCCCGAAGGCGGCAGCCGGGGCCUUGCGAGCAUCUCACACCAUCUUACAGCGAAGCUCGGAGCGCGACACGCAGCCGCAGGCGACCCCGCCCCAGCUGAGCCCUCGGGACCCACCCUGGUCGCCCGACCCUCGGGCCCUGCUCAGCCCAACCGGACCCCUGGCGUGGCAGGGGCGGCAGCACGGAUGAAUACGGCGCAGGGCUGUGUGACCUUCGAGGAUGUGUUCGUGUACUUCUCCCGGGAGGAGUGGGAGCUCCUUGAGGAAGCUCAGAGACUCCUGUACCGUGAUGUGAUGCUGGAGAACUUUGCACUUGUGUCCUCACUGGGACUCGCCGUUUCCAGGUCCCAUGUUGUUACCCACAUGGAGCCGGAGGGGAGCCCAGGGUGCCUGAGAAGGUAAACACAGCUCCAGCUACAGCAAAGCAGAUCUGGAGGAGGCCUGGCCCUGGUUGAUGGCAUGGAGUGAAGGAUGAGGCUGCGCAUUCUAAGCGGGGUGUUUCUGUGAGUGUCACAGAUGGGAACUCCCAAGGCAGGUCCUUCCACCCGAAAGGUUCAUCCCUGUGAUAUGUGUGACCCAGUCUUGAAAGACAUCUUUGCACCUGGCUGAGCCACAGGGAACACCAUCUGAGCAGCAGGAGAGACUUCUGGUGUAGUAUAAAUCUUGACCAGAUGCAGAAGCCGCAGAGUUGAGAAAGUUUCUUCAGAAAGGAAGGGAGCCAGGCUUCAUUUGUGAAGAUCUGCAGAUCCCAUGUGUUGGAGAAGGCUUCUACUUGCAGGGAGGGUGGGAAGAACUUUGUGGGCAGCUCUGGACUUAUCCGGCACCAGGCUUCUCGCAGCAGGGAGAAACCACACAGGGGUCCUGAGUGUGGGGAGGCCUUUUGUGUAUCAGAUUUCCUUUAGGCAAGAAAGCACAACCCGAGA